rnacentral:rRNA from 2 species
UUGGUGCUUGCAUCAUGAUUUACAUUUGAGUGAGUGGCGAACUGGUGAGUAACACGUGGGAAACCUGCCCAGAAGCGGGGGAUAACACCUGGAAACAGAUGCUAAUACCGCAUAACAACUUGGACCGCAUGGUCCGAGUUUGAAAGAUGGCUUCGGCUAUCACUUUUGGAUGGUCCCGCGGCGUAUUAGCUAGAUGGUGGGGUAACGGCUCACCAUGGCAAUGAUACGUAGCCGACCUGAGAGGGUAAUCGGCCACAUUGGGACUGAGACACGGCCCAAACUCCUACGGGAGGCAGCAGUAGGGAAUCUUCCACAAUGGACGAAAGUCUGAUGGAGCAACGCCGCGUGAGUGAAGAAGGGUUUCGGCUCGUAAAACUCUGUUGUUAAAGAAGAACAUAUCUGAGAGUAACUGUUCAGGUAUUGACGGUAUUUAACCAGAAAGCCACGGCUAACUACGUGCCAGCAGCCGCGGUAAUACGUAGGUGGCAAGCGUUGUCCGGAUUUAUUGGGCGUAAAGCGAGCGCAGGCGGUUUUUUAAGUCUGAUGUGAAAGCCUUCGGCUCAACCGAAGAAGUGCAUCGGGAACUGGGAAACUUGAGUGCAGAAGAGGACAGUGGAACUCCAUGUGUAGCGGUGAAAUGCGUAGAUAUAUGGAAGAACACCAGUGGCGAAGGCGGCUGUCUGGUCUGUAACUGACGCUGAGGCUCGAAAGUAUGGGUAGCAAACAGGAUUAGAUACCCUGGUAGUCCAUACCGUAAACGAUGAAUGCUAAGUGUUGGAGGGUUUCCGCCCUUCAGUGCUGCAGCUAACGCAUUAAGCAUUCCGCCUGGGGAGUACGGCCGCAAGGCUGAAACUCAAAGGAA